rnacentral:tRNA from 1 species
GAGCAGGUAGGCUAUAUUUAAGCCUUCAGACCCAUGCUCUGACUAAGCAAUUAUUGCCUUGCUCA